GACUCUGUGGCACAACGGUAGUGCAUCUGACUCUGAACCAGAAGGCUGCGUGUUCAAAUCCCGUCAGGGUCA